rnacentral:tRNA from 1 species
AGGAAAGUAGUUCAAUGGCAGAAUGGCGGUCUCCAAAACUGCAGAUCACAGUUCGACCCUGUGCUUUCCUG